AGAACGAACGCUGGCGGCAUGCCUAACACAUGCAAGUCGAACGAUGCUUUCGGGCAUAGUGGCGCACGGGUGCGUAACGCGUGGGAAUCUGCCCCUUGGUUCGGAAUAACAGUUAGAAAUGACUGCUAAUACCGGAUGACGACGUAAGUCCAAAGAUUUAUCGCCGAGGGAUGAGCCCGCGUAGGAUUAGCUAGUUGGUGAGGUAAUGGCUCACCAAGGCGACGAUCCUUAGCUGGUCUGAGAGGAUGAUCAGCCACACUGGGACUGAGACACGGCCCAGACUCCUACGGGAGGCAGCAGUGGGGAAUAUUGGACAAUGGGCGCAAGCCUGAUCCAGCAAUGCCGCGUGAGUGAUGAAGGCCUUAGGGUUGUAAAGCUCUUUUACCAGGGAUGAUAAUGACAGUACCUGGAGAAUAAGCUCCGGCUAACUCCGCGCCAGCAGCCGCGGUAA
rnacentral:rRNA from 1 species